ensembl:lncRNA
GGGAUUCUUCUCUCACAGUCACUUCUCUUCCUGCACCUGGGGCUGCAGUUGCAGGUGCAGCCAAUCGCUGGGAGCUUACACCUCCUGGCUGGCAGCAGCAUGGAGCUUUGGUGCAUGUAGGGCAGAGUGACCCAUAGUCAGAUCUGUUCUGGGUGCAUCCCUCGCCCUUCUCUUCCACUCUGUGUCCUCGCCCCAGGUUCCUCUGCUGCCGUAUCUGUCCUCAGUUACUUGGCAUUGUUUGUGGGCUGAUUUGAGAAGGAAGCCAGCACCUGCUUCUGCAGCUCAUCAGCAGUUUGUCUGGCUUUCUUCAAAUCUCUAAGUGCUGUGAAAAGCUCCUGCAGGAGGGAGAUUGGAAUGUCGGUCCCAGCGAGAUUUGGAAGCUGUGGCAGACCUGAGGGUCUCUGCUCCAGCAUGAAGACUGGAACGUUGGUCCCAGUGGGAUUUGGAGGCUGUGGCAGACCUGAGGGUCUCUGCUGCUGCACGAAGAGGACUGGAACGUUGGUCCCAGUGGGAUUUGGAGGCUGUGGCAGACCUGAGGGUCUCUGCUCACUGGAGGACUGCUUUUUCUUUGGGGACUUUCUUCUUGGAGGAGCUGGCUUGUCCUGGGUGUGUCCCUUGCCCUUCUGCUUCUGCCCCCUGGUAGCAUCUGGCAGUAAUCCACUACUCACUGCAGCUGUGCCUGCCUGGACAUCUGCUAGAACAGACUGAGAUGGGGCAGGAGCUUCAGUCUCCAAGAGCAGCCUUCUCCGAGGUAGCAGCACGUUGGCUGGCUCUCUACGGGCAACAGGAGCCAGCACGUCCAGGUGCCUGUGGCUGCUGCCACCCUGGCUCAAUGCUUUUUUGGCACCUCUGGCCUCACUGGCAUCGCUGAAAGUCUUAUCUUGAGAUGCCACCAUGUCCUUCCUCAUUGCCUCCUGAGGUGUACGUGGGUUUUUCUUUUUGGCCAGUAGACUCAGUGAUCGUCUGCUCCUACGUUGAUCUGUGUCCAGCCUGGCCUGCUCUAAGGAUCUGUUUUUCAUGAUGGGCUCUCUUCCCUUCUUUGAGAGCUUCUUAGUUGCCUUUCUGAUCAGGGAAUAGAGGGCCAUGCUGGCAGCUCGGAGCUUGGCCCCGGCAUUCUGAAUGAAAUGGCACAGGAGGGCUGGUGCACAGCAGUUUCUGCACAGCGUAGGUGGUGUCUCUGGUCUAGGAGUCGUGUGUUCUGCUGCUUCUUGCCUGGGCGUCAUCUCUGCGUGUGCUGCUUGGGGUCUGAAUGGUCUACCCUGUGGCAGACGCCUCCAUGGCACAACCGAAGAACUCUCCACGAGGGUACGUUCAGGGAGCCCCUCUGGCUGCUGGGCAGCAGUGGUAUUUUUCUUGUCCUGUUGCUCACUGGCCUUGACCUCGGGUGAAUUCCUCUCUCGAACUGUUGCUCCUCCUGCAACAACCGGGGCUGCAGUGUCAGAUGGAGCCACGCCCUGGGAUCCUUCAUUGUUAGGCUGGGUGUAGUAGUCUCUAUAAAAUUCCAACUUUCGCCUCUCAACAUAUUCAUAUUGCUCCAGCCACAGAUGCAUCAUCUUGAUCUGAUGGUCAUCAGGGCCUUCAUAGAUUCUGCAGCAGGCAAUGUGGACUGGAAUCCUUGUUUCUUGUCUGCACUUAUCUGUCUCGGGGGCAGAUUUUCGCCGUGGGACAAGGGCCUGUGCUGCUGACCUCCUUGCCAGAGCUUGCCCAUGCCCACGCUGGAAGAGCGAGUAAGUGGGCCUCCUUGAGUGCCUCAGAGGAUGGGGAAGCUGGGAGUCUCUCUGACCCAGGACAGGCUCUGAGAAACUCCUCUUCAGGAACUGUGGUGCCUGCAUUUUUAUGUUAGGAUGCUCCGAAUGACUUUGCAUAGCCUCAUCCUCUAAGGGCAGGUCCUGCACCGUGGGAGCCACCAUCACAUCAGGCUUUCUCUGAUCACUGAGGCCCAGUCCCUGCUCCGCUUUCCUUUCUGGGAUGGAGCUUUCCAAGUUCUCCUGGGCUUUUGGGUGUCGGUAAGGUGCCUCCAUUUCCCCCCAACUGGUGCUCAACGGAUACAGCGAUGUCCUCAAAGAGCAGCGGUUUUCACUCACUGUGACCGAGCUGGUGGAAUCAUCGCUGCCCUCAGGCAGUUCCAAGGUGAGCCUGUGUGAGAUGGAGAAAGAGAAGGAAGAUGAGGGCGGUUCUGAGCCAAACUCUCCUGAGGACCCCGGGGCUUUUCUGUCGCUUCAAAG